GAGUGAACGCAAUGAUAAUAUUUUAUUUUUUAAUUUUCUUUAACCUCUAAGUGGUUGUAAUUUAGCUUUAAUCACCAGCCAGAAACGGACAGAGACGGGCAGCUAGCAAGCUAGCUCGUUAGCUACGGUACAUAACAGAUGCUCCUCUGCCUUUGGUGGGUGAAUCUGUGAAUAUAACAUCCACGUAGUUCCUGUUUUACCAGCAUGAAGUGAAGCUAUGCAGCCUGAAUCCUAACAACCACAGCGCAGCCUUAGCAACAGCCGCUCGCUGCCCAGCGACCCAGUGGAGGAAACUGGAGUAACCAGCUUCAUUAUCUGCCGCUGCUAUUUAUCCAGCUACACAGCAGUAAAAUAUUCAUCACCACAUAAAGAGCCCAGCGAGGACUGGAUCUGCAUCUGCUGGCUCUGUUUGACAGCAGAGGUGGACGGAGACUGGGACUUCACCAUCAGCAGUGACAGAGUGGACAAAAGACCAGGCCAUCAUUUAUCUUCCCAAUACGACCCUGAUGCAAAUGAGGAAAAUGAAAGCAAGCAAUCAAUUCCCUAAUUGGCGCAACAAAGGCAGCCAGUGGGGAAGAGACGGAGCACCAGAUGCCUCCCCAUUGUGUGAGCGGUUGAUUAUUACACCUUUCAUUUGAGCAUUUAUAUUAUAAAUUAUUAUAUUUCUAAGAAGUGAGCGCAUGGAUGAGUUUUCGUGGGUUAAAAAGCUGAGUUACUUCCCACCCGAAGCGGCCGCCCUGUUGGAGGUUGUGGAGUUAGAGCGGAGGCCGAGCAGCCGAGCAUUUGCUUUGAGCUCCUCAUAAACAAAUUAGACUGUUGAUAUACCGCUCAGCUCAGCUGCUCCCUCCUCACACAUCAAUGGUUUAUUUACCCGCGGAGAGAAGCCGCUGAAUUAGAAUAAGAAUGAGAUUAUGUAUCUCUACACUAAACCGAACCAUGAAUUACUGUAAACUCACUGCUGAGUGAGGAGCGUUUUAGCUGCACUCAUUUCACUUGUUCCUUUUCCUCCUGUUGGUAUAAAGACAAAGAGAAACCCCUUAAAAGCAGCCUUUAACGGCACACACUUAA